CCUUCAAUAGAAAUCUGACAAAGAUGCUUAACAAAUAAAUCACAUCAUAGGCUCACAUUCAACUCAAAAAGGUCAAACUAAACAAGGGACCACUUGACUAGUGUUGGACGUGCAUGAAAAUAUUAAAAUGUGUACCUUGGAAUAGGACCACUUGACUUGUGUUGGACAUGCAUAAACACCACUCUCUCUCUCAUACAUAAACAAGGGAUCAUGUAUAUAUGGAUGUGAGUGUGUGCACACGUGCGGGGGUGUGUAUACAUACAUGCAUAUAUACAUGAUCCCCUGUUUAUUUGUUGGUGAACUUCCACAAUAGUGAUGCAUUUUCUAUGACUAGCAUGCUUAUGUGAAAGCAUGAAUCUGGAGAAUUUGGCACGCAUUGAGUUCCAAUAAUUGAGUCAGUUGAGUUUUCAGAUUUCUAAACUAUGCUGCAACAAGAGAGGUUUUCUAACAGUUGUUGCAAGGUUUUCAGGAUGUGGUGGUGUCGGAAAAUAAGGCAGUUGGUGGGAUUCUCGAGGAAAAGGUGAAAUUGAUUUUGGUUCGGUCCUUCAUAAAAUCAAGAUAUCAGAGGAGCAAAGAAAAUAUUUUAUUGAUAACACAGAGCCCCUGGGCCAUUUUCAUAUAAGAUUUGAGUUCAGGCUGGUACUUGGAGCUCAGCCAAACCAGGCUAACUUAGCUGAGUCAGCAAGGUGAUUAGCGUAUUUUAAAAUUGCCACAUUAGAUUUAAUUAUGGAAACAAACUUUAUCUUGUAGCUGGAGCUUCGAAUCUUUAUGCAUCUUGCAAACUGUCAGAGCAUGUUGAAUGCCUUAAAGGCUGGUGGGGAUUUCCAUUCAAGGAUGGCAAUGAAUAUGUACCCACAUAUUCGCAAGGCUGUAGAGGGAAAAGGGGUGUUGCUUGAAUGGUAGCCUCAACCCGGGGAAGACAGACCUCCAGUUCCUCUAUUAAAGGAUGCCUUUGCUUUUGAGAGAUGAAAAGCGAAAAUGCUCAACUUCUCUAUUGCAUAUGGGAAAACUCCUGCUGGGCUGGCCCAUGAUUGUAAGUGGCACUACCAAAGAUCAUGAAGGCAACGGAGUAUGAAAUAAUUAACAAAGGUAAGGAAAACCACUUCACUUUUGAACUUUGAUUGCUAUUUAUUUUCCUCAUAGAAAUUGUGCCUUGCAUGAGGAAGGAACAUGUCUGGGUUUGAGUCCCAACCUGGGUUGGACUUGGGCCUAAUAUAGACCCAUUGACAGGCCUAGCUCUAAUUUAAAAUGGGUUGGCCUUGGGCCUAAGUCAGGUUAGCCUAUGUGUUAACAGACCCAACCUGCUUUUGAGGUGGGUUCAAGCCAAACUAAUUGGGUAGUGGGUUGGGUUCGAGCUAGAAAUUUGUCCAUUUAAAUAAUGGGUUAGGCUGGGGUUGAACCUACCUAAUGGGUUGAGCCGGAUGACCCUACAUAGGUUACUAAUGGGUUGAGCCGGAUGACCCUACAUAGGUUUCUAAUGGGUUGAGCCAGAUGAGCUGGUUUGACUCGAGCCAAAACCCAAAAAAAAAUAAAGAACAAAAGUAUGGAUAAAUUUAUUACCUGGACCCAAACUCAACAUGAUUUCUUCAGUCCAAUUGAUUGAACCUGAGCUCGUUAAAAUUGGGUUGGGUUCAUAGGCCACGGCUUCGGGUACCCAUUGGCAUCCCAAUCGACCUUAAUAUGACCCCUAUGAUAAAUGGGGUUGGAUUCAGAUAAGAGGCCAGU